UACGUAGGGGCCUAGCGUUGUCCGGAUUUAUUGGGCGUAAAGAGCUCGUAGGCGGCUUGGUAAGUCAGGUGUGAAAUCUCCACGCUCAACGUGGAGGGGCCACCCGAAACUGCCAUGGCUUGAGUCCGGUAGGGGAGUGUGGAAUUCCCGGUGUAGCGGUGAAAUGCGCAGAUAUCGGGAGGAACACCCGUAGCGAAGGCGGCACUCUGGGCCGGUACUGACGCUGAGGAGCGAAAGCGUGGGGA
rnacentral:rRNA from 1 species